rnacentral:rRNA from 1 species
AUUGAACGCUGGCGGCAGGCCUAACACAUGCAAGUCGAACGGUAACAGGAAGAAGCUUGCUUCUUUGCUGACGAGUGGCGGACGGGUGAGGAAUGUCUGGGAAACUGCCUGAUGGAGGGGGAUAACUACUGGAAACGGUAGCUAAUACCGCAUAACGUCGCAAGACCAAAGAGGGGGACCUUCGGGCACCUUGCCAGCGGAUGUGCCCAGAUGGGAUUAGCUAGUAGGUGGGGUAACGGCUCACCUAGGCGACGAUCCCUAGCUGGUCUGAGAGGAUGACCAGCCACACUGGAACUGAGACACGGUCCAGACUCCUACGGGAGGCAGCAGUGGGGAAUAUUGCACAAUGGGCGCAAGCCUGAUGCAGCCAUGCCGCGUGUAUGAAGAAGGCCUUCGGGUUGUAAAGUACUUUCAGCGGGGAGGAAGGGAGUAAAGUUAAUACCUUUGCUCAUUGACGUUACCCGCAGAAGAAGCACCGGCUAACUCCGUG